UUGCUUCAGCAACAAAUACACUAAAAUUGGAAUGAUGCAAAGUUUAGCAUGGCCCCUGCACAAGGAUGACACACAAAUUUGUGAAGUAUUCCAUAUUUUA
rnacentral:snRNA from 1 species